rnacentral:lncRNA from 1 species
UGAACCAAGUCCUGGGGAGUCUGAACUGGCUGUGAACCCCUUUGAUGGGCUCCCCUUCUCUUCUUGCUACUAUGAGCUGCUUGAGCAGCGUAGAGCCUUGCCCAUCUGGGCUGCUCGUUUCCUGUUCUUGGAGCAUUUGGAAAGUAGCCCCACUGGAGUGGUGCUGGUAUCUGGGGAGCCCGGCUCUGGCAAGAGCACCCAGGUGGAGGAAGGUUCUGGGAGUGGGCAAAGGGCAGGGUUAAAUGUGCUUUUUCCUGGGUAAAGGAAAGGGGAUGUGGGAAAGGUGGAUUACCCAGUGGGUGGUACGGUAGAGUUCAGCUGGUCAUAGUUCCUAUAGCACUUCUGUCUAAAGUCCUCCAAUCCUCUGACAAAUUCCCUCUCCCUACCCCAGAUUCCUCAAUGGUGUGCAGAGUUUGCGCUGGCCAGAGGAUUCCAGACAGGACAGGUUACAGUCACUCAGCCCUACCCUCUGGCAGCCAUGAGCCUGGCUUCAAGGGUGGCUGAUGAGAUGGACCUGACCCUGGGUCAUGAGAUUGGCUACAGCAUCCCUCAGGAAGACUGCACUGGGCCCAAUACCAUGCUCAGGUGGGCCAUUUGCAGUCUGGCAUGGGCUUAAUCCCCCUUACUGAGUGGGAACAAACCCAGUUGUCUCGUACCUCCCCAUACCCUCAGCUUAACUUGCCUUUGAGUCACAUGAUACAAACCUCACCCCCACCACAAGAUACAGGAUAUAGUGGGUGAACCAAGUGCCCUCAACAAGAUGUAGGGUCACACUUAGUGGUCCACAGGCUUAGGAAGUCCAUGACAACAUCUUUUUCUGACCUUCAGUAUCAAGAUCUAGGCACCUUGGGGGAAAAUUCCUAAAUUUGGGUCUGGUCCACGUCCAUGUUGACUCCCUGUCCACUACCAAUGUCUACAGGUUUUGCUGGGACAGGCUAUUUCUACAGGAAGUAGCCUCGACCCGGGGCCCUGGAGCCUGGAGUGUGCUGGUACUGGAUGAGGCUCAGGAGCGGUCAGUGGCCUCAGAUUUACUACAGG